rnacentral:rRNA from 1 species
CGAUGAUAGCCCACUUGUGGGUGGAUUAGUGGCGAACGGGUGAGUAACACGUGAGUAACCUGCCCUUGACUCUGGGAUAAGCCUGGGAAACUGGGUCUAAUACCGGAUAUGACUCCUCAUCGCAUGGUGGGGGGUGGAAAGCUUUUUGUGGUUUUGGAUGGACUCGCGGCCUAUCAGCUUGUUGGUGAGGUAAUGGCUUACCAAGGCGACGACGGGUAGCCGGCCUGAGAGGGUGACCGGCCACACUGGGACUGAGACACGGCCCAGACUCCUACGGGAGGCAGCAGUGGGGAAUAUUGCACAAUGGGCGCAAGCCUGAUGCAGCGACGCCGCGUGAGGGAUGACGGCCUUCGGGUUGUAAACCUCUUUCAGUAGGGAAGAAGCCUUUCGGGGUGACGGUACCUGCAAAAGAAGCGCCGGCUAACUACGUGCCAGCAGCCGCGGUAAUACGUAGGGCGCAAGCGUUAUCCGGAAUUAUUGGGCGUAAAGAGCUCGUAGGCGGUUUGUCGCGUCUGCCGUGAAAGUCCGGGGCUCAACUCCGGAUCUGCGGUGGGUACGGGCAGACUAGAGUGAUGU